ACAUUUCCUAUUUUAUUUUAGUCUCAAGCAGACGUCGACACGUUCACAGUUAAAUUUCUCAGUAAUUCGUUAUGAUUUCUGGGAAAACACAGUCAACACAAACUCGCAAAACAGAAUUUCGAGAAACACCACCCCCAACACAAGUGGAUUGAAUCUACGGGAUUCGAUAAAGCGCAUAGGUAGGCCCGUCAUGACACUGAUGGAGGUACAGAGCAGAAGCUGAAGGACGCCUUACUGUGAAGGCAACUCUUGAUGCUGCUAUCCGCUUGGGAUACCUGCGGACCCACCACGCUACGAUGACGAUGACGAUACAGCGGUGGAUCGUUCAAACGCAAUGAUCUUCGAUGUUGGCGAGACUAGACUACUUAUCUCGACACUUUUUUGUCGGUUUGAGUUGGUUGUGCGUGGCUCGGAAUCAUAAUUAAUUACUGAGAAACAUUUAA